UUGGUUUUUCGAGACAGGGUUUCUCUGUGUAGCUUUGCGCCUUUCCUGGAACUCACUUGGUAGCCCAGGCUGGCCUCGAACUCACAGAGAUCCGCCUGGCUCUGCCUCCCGAGUGCUGGGAUUAAAGGCGCGCGCCCGCCACCACCGCCCGGCGGCUGCAGCGUCUUGAAGCUUGUCAGAGUCCAUGAACUGCUCGGAAUUGUCAUCCCUGCUGCAGGUGAAGAAUUUGACCACAGUCACAUACCUUGAAGAUGGGCACUGCCUGCCUAUGAUCCUGACGUUCUGGAGGCAAGAGGAACAUGACUUCAAGGCCAGCCAGCUUGGGUUACAUAGUGAGGUCUUACCUAAAAAUGACAGUAAUGGAUGAAAAAUUAAAACAAGAAAGA